rnacentral:rRNA from 1 species
UACGAAGGGUGCAAACGUUGCUCGGAAUUAUUGGGCGUAAAGCGCACGUAGGCGGCUUAGCAAGUCGGAAGUGAAAGCCCUCGGCUCAACCAAGGAAGUGCUUUCGAAACUGCUGAGCUUGAGUAGUUAAGAGGAUCGCGGAAUUCCCGGUGUAGAGGUGAAAUUCGUAGAUAUCGGGAGGAACACCAGUGGCGAAGGCGGCGAUCUGGGAACAUACUGACGCUGAGGUGCGAAAAGCGUGGGGGAGCAAACAGG